UCCCUGGAGGACUAGUGGUUAGGCCCCAGCGCUCUUACCGCUGCAGCCUGGGUUUGAUUCCCGGCCGGGGAA
rnacentral:tRNA from 1 species